UACAGAGGGUGCAAGCGUUGUUCGGAAUUAUUGGGCGUAAAGCGCGCGUAGGCGGCUUUGCAAGUCGGGUGUGAAAGCCCGAGGCUCAACCUCGGAACUGCCUUCGAUACUGCGGGUCUCGAGUCCGGGAGAGGUGAGUGGAAUUCCUAGUGUAGAGGUGAAAUUCGUAGAUAUUAGGAAGAACACCAGUGGCGAAGGCGGCUCACUGGCCCGGUACUGACGCUGAGGCGCGAAAGCGUGGGGAGCAAACAGGG
rnacentral:rRNA from 1 species